rnacentral:lncRNA from 1 species
AGCAGCAGCAGUGGAAACAGAGUGAGAUUCUCACGGACUCCAGGGUGCCAAAGGGAGCGCAGGGUGGGGGUUGCAGAGGCGUGGGCAGUGGGCAGGUCACAGGGAUGCAUUGUCCUGGCUCACCAGGAUGGCUGUUCUGUGUACAAAGGUGGCCUGCGUAACAGUCACCCACAAUUUGCCCCCGAUAAGAUUUGUUUCCUGGGCACUUGCUCAUGUCAGAGGAAUUUAUGCCAUGCAGAAAUAUGUUUUGGCUUGUUGAGACUUAAAAACCACGUUAUAAGCACUGCUUUCCCACAUCGGGCAUGGCUGUCAGAGCAGGGUUCCCAGCGUAGAGGACUGGGAAGCACAGGGAAUGUUCAUUCAGUCUGUGCGAAUACCAGCGACACAGAGGGGCUGCUGGGAUCCAAGUACUGGAUUUGGGUUGAGAACCAAGGUUUAAGUCUUGGCUCUGCUGUCUACUAGGUAGGUACCUAUUUUCUCAUCUCUGUAAGAAGGACUAUUACCCUCUUUUGCUUUCUCUUUGGGAGGCUGUGAGGACCUCGGCAGACCCAGCAGAGGGGAAUGUGCCGGCUUCCCUGAGCUGCUGUGCAGUGGUGUUCUGUGGACAGUGGGUGAAAAGCCAAGGGAUCGGGAGGACGCCGCAACUGCAGCCAGGGCUGUCCUUGGGAACCCCCAUCCGAUGCCAGCAUGGACGCUCACGGGCACAGAGACAGCAUAGCUGGGCUUUUGCCAGCAUUUAGACAAAUUGUUGUUUCUUUGGUUGGGGUGUAGAUGAGAAAGUUGGCUUAAACCGGGAGUCACCUUAUCUGGAAAGUUGCUCUCUGGAGAC